CCUACGUGUAUGCAGCAGUGGUGAACAUUGGGCAAUGGAGGCAACUCUGACCCAGCAACGCCGCGUGAAUGAUGAAGGUCUUCUGAUUGUAACGUUCUGUGAUGGGGGCUGAACACAAUGACGUUACCCCUAUAGCAAGCCACGGCGAACUACGUGCCAGCAGCCGGGGUAAUACGUCGGUGGCAAGCGUUAUCCGGAAUGACUGGGCGUAAAGGGUGCGUAGGUGGGUUAGUAAGUUGGCGGUGUAAUUCCGGGGCUCAACCGCGGCGCUACCGCCAACACUAGUAGACUAGAGUGCAGGAGGGGUAAGUGGAAUUCCUGGUGUAGCGGUGGAAUGCGUAGAUAUUAGGAGGAACAUCAGGGGCGAAGGCGACUUACUGGACUGUAACUGACACUGAGGCACGAAAGCGUGGGGAGCAAACAGGAUUAGAUACCCUAGUAGUC
rnacentral:rRNA from 1 species